CAGAAAGUGGUUUACGAAGCACGAUGCCGCCAUGACAGCGGCGGGACGCCUGAAGAAGACACCCCUCAGUGAAAUCUUGACGUGGGUGAAUGACGCGCGGAAAGACUUGCCAGCGGAAACAAUCGAGACUGGAUUUGAAAAGUGUUGCAUUUGGAACGUUCGAUGGCAGCGAGGACGAUGUCAUCUGGGAAGCCGAGCAUGCCUGCCAAGCAUCCUACGACGACAACUUUCCGUACACUUCUGGUGAAGAUGAAGCUCCUGGAAGCGACCAGAGGGCUGAGGAAAAGUUAUUUAUUAAUGCUGAGACUUCUCGUGCAGAAGAAAAUCAGCUUGACAACCAUGCCAUUCUCCCAAUAGUCGAGGUAUUCAAUACUACUGAGAAAUUAUGGUUGUAUCAGCAAAACAUCUCGUCCACCUCCACUAGACAUGGUUCCCGGUCUCUUCCAGUUACAAUGAAUGAAACGCUGUGCAUAUUUUUUAUGAAAUAUAAUAUCACCAAUGAUGAUAUUUACUUUUGGAAGGAGAGAAAGCAAAUCACGGUAAAUAAAUGGGCUGUGCAGCGCUCAGAAAAAGGGACAAGGGACAGAAGAAAUGUACACGACAUGCGCUGUCCUAAGUAUGAACCAAUACCAACCCAAGUCCUAAGUCCUAAGCGAAAAAUCCUGCUGCAUGGAUCAUUCAAUACAAGCCAUGAACCGCUUGGCUCUAUGGAUGUUGUACGAGCAGACAAGAACACUACGAGAUAAGUUUUCGAUGGACGCAACCCACCUUUAGUGCAUAUAUUGGUCUGUAUUCGUCUAUUUGUGGAAACGUAAGAACAUACAAAAUUUAAGAAUACGCGGUGGAGUUUUAACCUCCCGGAUCACUCUCCUGGAUACGCAACGGACUGCAACGCAGAAUGAGGCUUCCCACUCUUCUACGAAUUGUGACUGAAGAUAUAGCCGCUACCCUUGAAGGUGUAGGACUGUGAUGCACAGUUAAAAUGUGCUAAUCGACGACUUUUCCUAGAAAAUGUGCUAGUGUGGAGUCUUUGUUGGUGAGAAGCAAGCACCGAAUGGGCCUACAGAUGGAUGCAAUAAUUACUUCAAGACCAAUUGUACAGGAGACAUACUUGUAUUCUACAAUAAAACGUGUGAUACUGCACGAAGCGAAUUUACAUCGACACAACCACCUUUGAAAGGUUAGUUGAUCAAUACGGAUAUCUUUAUUAAGAGACCCGCACAAUAUUUUCAAUAAAGUUCUUGUUGAGCGAGA